UGGCUCAGGAUGAACGCAGCGACAGGCUAACACAUGCAAGCGAGGGCAGCAUAAAAGUAGCAAUACUUGGUGGCGACCGGCGCACGGGUGAGUAACGCGUAUGCAACCUACCUAUCAGAGGGGAAUAACCCGGCGAAAGUCGGACUAAUACCGCAUAAAACAGGGGCACCGCAUGGUGAUAUUUGUUAAAGAAAUUCGCUGAUAGAUGGGCAUGCGUUCCAUUAGGUAGUUGGUGAGGUAACGGCUCACCAAGCCGACGAUGGAUAGGGAACUGAGAGGUUGGUCCCCCACACUGGUACUGAGACACGGACCAGACUCCUACGGGAGGCAGCAGUGAGGAAUAUUGGUCAAUGGGCGGGAGCCUGAACCAGCCAAGUCGCGUGAAGGAAGAAGGAUCUAUGGUUCGUAAACUUCUUUUGCAGGGGAAUAAAGUGCAGGACGUGUCCUGUUUUGUAUGUACCCUGAGAAUAAGGAUCGGCUAACUCCGUGCCAGCCGCUGC
rnacentral:rRNA from 1 species